rnacentral:lncRNA from 1 species
AGCUGCCACCUUUUCCUGGACCUUCUCUAAUUCAGGUGCCAGUAACUUAAUAAAUUAUUUUCUUCACCAGAAAAGCCCCUGCUUUUCUUCACCAAAUUUGUGUAAAUUCUCCAUUGUGUUAUUUAUCUUGGCUUCUAGAUCAUUCUGGCUAUGAAUUAGUAAUAACAUUCUUGUAAACUUUUCUUGGCAGGCCUGGCAUGGUGGCACUUGCCUUUAAUCCCAACGUUUAAGGUGGUGUGUUAGUUUCAGGCCAUCCAGGGCUACAUAGUAAGACCCUGCCUCAAACAAAGAAGUUAAUAAUAAACUGUAUCUGGCUAUACUAGUCAGAUGGUGAGCUCUGGAUUAAAAUGAGACACCCUGCCUCUAUAUAAGGUAGAAAGCAAUCAAAGAAGACACUCAAGCUUCUACACACACAGUGUAUAUAAGUGUGGCCCACCACAGCACCACAGACACACAAAUAAAAUGAAACUUAAAAAGAGAAAAAAAAAAGUAAAGCUGAGCUUCUAAGCCAUUGUAGAAAUAAAAGUUGUACAUAUUUCACUCUUUGUUCCUGAAUCAGAAAAAAAACGACCCAUAAGUCUGCAUUCUUGAAAUCUUUAGAACCCCCUCCCCCGAGGAAGAAGAAGAACAUCAAGAGUUCUUCCUCACUCUUCCUUAAAACUCUGUUCACUAUGUUUUAAGAAAGAAAGGAACCCAUGAACCAGGCCUUGUAGAAAAAUAAUUUUACCACUUGGGUAGGUCAAGAAAAAGAAUGUAGGUAUGAGAACAGCUGGCCAUUCCCAGAGGGAGAAGAGAGGAAACCACAUGGUAACUGGUACAGCUUUCCUCUGGUGUUUACCAUUUUUUUUCACUAGUGAAAUGGUUGAAGUACGGCAUGGUCAUACUUAACAAUAUUUAAGUUACUCUUUUUUCCUACUACCAUUACCACUGCAUUUAAUUGCAUUCUCAUCAAGAAAGCAGUUCUGAGCCCAUUGUAAACAUGAAAAAAGUUCUGAAAUGAAAACAACAAAUAAAUUUGAAAUGAUAUUUGUAAUUCUUUCUUAAAUUAUGUUUAAGAAAAGCAUGACAGAUUGCUUACAUGAGAAGCCCGUUAUGCAUUUAUCCCUACUUAUUUGAUCCUAAUUUUCAUUUGAACAUGAUAGGAUAAGUAACAUGCCACAAGUUAACAUAUGAAUGUGGGUAUAUAAUUUAACAAUAGAUUCUGAUAUACUUUCCAGAAUGUAUUUUCAUAGAGAAACCAGUAAAGUCACUAACAUUAAACAUAGAAGAUAGAAUGAUUCUGAAACUACAAAAGCAUAAAUGUACUUGGAUUGUCCUAAGGAUUGAUAGACUGACAACUUGAUAGAUAAUAUUACUUCAUUAUACUGGUUUUAUAUUCAGUAUUAGAACAAAUGUGAUUUAGAGCAUAAAAUGAUGUAAUCUGUAUAAUUAGCUAUAUAUAGUGACACUGAAGGUGCUAAACAACUUACAGUACUGUUUUUGCUUAGUCCCAGCAACCACUAGAAGAUCUUGAUGCUCAGUUGAGAAGAACACUUAGUCCAGAGACUAUUACAGUGGCACCUGCAGUUGGUGUAAGUUUUUAAAUGGCGAUCAAAAACAAACAAAAAGCCUCUUAAGAUUGUCUUCUAGCAUAAACUAUCAUCUAGGUGAUUAUUACCUUAAUUCAGAGUCCUUGUCAGCAAAAUGACACAGAUUUAAAAGAGUAACUAUGGAAAAAGAUAUCAGAGAUGCUUGUUGUUUUAUUUAUUUUCCUCUCAGCAAAUUAUAUUGUAGCUCAAGCUUACGAUUUUGUGCUUUGGAAAAGGUUAAUCCUCUAUGACAAUAUUUUUAUUAGAACUACGGUCCAGUCAGCUAGUGGACGCCUAUCUCUGUGAGUUCAAGGUCAGCCUGGUCUACAGAUAAAGUUUCAGGGCAGCCAAGGCUAAACAGAGAAACCUGCUUU